rnacentral:rRNA from 1 species
UCGGACGACAGGCGAGGAAUCCGCAAGGAGGAAUCGUGCUGAGUGGCGAACGGGUGAGUAAGACAUGGGGACGUACCCUCAAGAGGGGGAUAGCAUUCCGAAAGGGAUGGUAAUACCCCGUAAGCUCGAGAGAGGGAAGGUGCAACAGCACCGCUUGAGGAGCGACUCAUGGCCCAUCAGUUAGUUGGUGAGGUAAAGGCCCACCAAGGCUAUGACGGGUAGCUGGUCUGAGAGGAUGGUCAGCCACACUGGGACUGAGACACGGCCCAGACUCCUACGGGAGGCAGCAGUGGGGAAUUUUUCCCAAUGGGCGAAAGCCUGAGGGAGCGACGCCGCGUGGAGGAAGGAGUCUUUCGAGAUGUAAACUCCUGUUGUAAGGGAGCAAGGGUAUAUGUAGUGGAAAGGCAUAUACUCGGAUAGUACCUUACGAGGAAGCCCCGGCUAGCUACGUGCCAGCAGCCGCGGUAAUACGUAGGGGGCGAGCGUUGUCCGGAGUUACUGGGCGUAAAGGGUGCGUAGGUGGCCGAUAAAGUCAAUUGUGAAAUUCCACGGCUCAACUGUGGGAGUGCGGUUGAAACUAAUCGGCUUGAGGUCAGGUCAGGAAGAUGGAAUUGUCAGUGUAGGGGUGAAAUCCGUAGAUAUUGGCAAGAACGCCGGUGGUGAAGACGGUCUUCUGGGCUGAUACUGACACUGAGGCACGAAAGCUAGGGGAGCGAACGGGAUUAGAUACCCCGGUAGUCCUAGCCGUAAACGAUGUUCACUGAGUAUGGGAGGCGUUAGCCAUCCGUGCUGAAGCAAACGCGUUAAGUGAACCGCC